GAUUUCAUUAUAAUUUGUUCUUUAACAAGUAACCAUGGUCUUUGGGGAACUUACUGUUUCUUGAAGAUUUUAAAACUUAAAUAAAAGUGGAGUCAGCCUUAGUUUCUGUAGCCCCGUCUAGAGUUAGUUUUGUCUCUGCAUAAAGCUCUUAGGCAGUGGCGAUCAUAGUGGCGAUCUCAGGCUUAGUCACUGAUGCUCUGGUCGUGUUUGUCCAGAGAACACCCCUACAUUAACCCUGUCACAGCUCCAUGUUGGUUUGCUCUGCUCAGAAUUGAACCAGUUCGGGGCUGGGGAUUUAGCUCAGUGGUAGAGCGCUUACCUAGGAAGCGCAAGGCCCUGGGUUCGGUCCCCAGCUCCGAAAAAAAAGAACCAAAAAAAAAAAAAAAGAAAAAAGAAUUGAACCAGUUCAAGCGUAGCAGCUCACCCAGCCCCAUUGCCUAAUGUGGCAUUUCCAAGGUUACUGCUGAUAAGGGCUGUCGAGGAUGAUAAGACUUCAAUAUACCCCGCCUUAGGUUUGGGUCAGAUGUCAAUACGGUUGCCUAAAGCUGGACUCCCUACGUUGAGUAGCAAAUUAGGUGGUGAAGUUAGGGACGCACACUGUGAGCCUCCAUUUGUGAAAUCACAUCCUUCUAAGUGUGACUGAACUCAGCUGAGUUUGUAAAGCAUGGAUUCCUCUCCUACAGGGAUUUGCCCUGAAUCCCUCAGGAAGAGUGUUCUUUGUCAGCCAGUCACCUCCUCAGCUGCUUUGAUUUCAGUGUGUAUGUCCAGAACUAGCUUAGCACAAACAAAACUAAUGCUAACAGUUAUUUCUGCUCUUCAACUGACUGAGAGUGAAAACUGCCCGUGUUAACACGGGCAAAGCCUGUCAGGCAGGAAGGAUUAGG
rnacentral:lncRNA from 1 species